rnacentral:ncRNA from 1 species
UUCAAUCGAAAGGGGUGCUUCAUUUAUAUGAGGCUGAGAUUACACCCAAAGAACCUGAGCAGGUAAUGCUGCUAAGGGAAAUGGUACUUCACCAAA